rnacentral:rRNA from 1 species
UACGUAGGCAGCAAGCGUUGUUCGGAGUUACUGGGCGUAAAGAGCGUGUAGGCGGCUUGUUAAGUCUUGCGUGAAAUCUCGGGGCUCAACCCCGAGCGGUCGUGAGAAACUGGCAGGCUAGAGUGCGGGAGAGGAGAGUGGAAUUCCUGGUGUAGCGGUGAAAUGCGCAGAUAUCAGGAAGAACACCCGUGGCGAAGGCGGCUCUCUGGAACGCAACUGACGCUGAGACGCGAAAGCGUGGGGAGCAAACAGG